GUACACUCCUGCGGGAGGCAGCAGUGGGGAAUAUUGCACAAUGGGCGCAAGCCUGAUGCAGCCAUGCCGCGUGUAUGAAGAAGGCCUUCGGGUUGUAAAGUACUUUCAGCGGGGAGGAAGGCGAUAAGGUUAAUAACCUUGUUGAUUGACGUUACCCGCAGAAGAAGCACCGGCUAACUCCGUGCCAGCAGCCGCGGUAAUACGGAGGGUGCAAGCGUUAAUCGGAAUUACUGGGCGUAAAGCACACGCAGGCGGUCUGUCAAGUCGGAUGUGAAAUCCCCGGGCUCAACCUGGGAACUGCAUUCGAAACUGGCAGGCUAGAGUCUUGUAGAGGGGGGUAGAAUUCCAGGUGUAGCGGUGAAAUGCGUAGAGAUCUGGAGGAAUACCGGUGGCGAAGGCGGCCCCCUGGACAAAGACUGACGCUCAGGUGCGAAAGCGUGGGGAGCAAACAGGAUUAGAAACCCGAGUAGUCCCAUGAU
rnacentral:rRNA from 1 species